CCUCCGGAGCCUCCUCUGUCAGUUGGGCUGGGGGCAGGGCCUUUGUGAAGGCGGGUGGUGUUCGGAUCGCCUCUGGGCCCUUCCUCCAGCCCAGGGGCGGACUCACC
ensembl:miRNA MIR326 microRNA 326